UGGGGGAUAUUGCACAAUGGGCGAAAGCCUGAUGCAGCGACGCCGCGUGAGGGAAGACGGUCUUCGGAUUGUAAACCUCUGUCUUCGGGGAAGAAUGAUGACGGUACCCGAGGAGGAAGCCACGGCUAACUACGUGCCAGCAGCCGCGGUAAUACGUAGGUGGCGAGCGUUGUCCGGAAUUACUGGGUGUAAAGGGAGCGUAGGCGGGAGCGCAAGUUGAAUGUCAAAUCCAUCGGCUCAACCGGUGGCCGCGUUCAAAACUGCGUUUCUUGAGUGGGGUAGAGGCAGGCGGAAUUCCUAGUGUAGCGGUGAAAUGCGUAGAUAUUAGGAGGAACACCAGUGGCGAAAGCGGCCUGCUGGGCCUUUACUGACGCUGAGGCUCGAAAGCGUGGGGAGCAAACAGG
rnacentral:rRNA from 2 species